AAUCAACGCUGGCGGCGUGCCUCAGACAUGCAAGUCGAACGCGAAAGGCCCCUUCGGGGGCCCGGUAGAGUGGCGCACGGGUGAGUAACACGUAGGUAAUUUGCCUUCGGGUGGGGAAGUAACAGCCGGAAACGGCUGCUAAUACCGCAUAAUGCAGCGGCUCGACAUCGAGACAGUUGUUAAAGCGGGGGAUCGCAAGACCUCGCGCCUGAAGAGAAGCCUGCGGCAGAUAGCUUGUUGGUGAGGUAAUGGCUCACCAAGGCGACGAUCUGUAACCGGCCUGAGAGGGCGGUCGGUCACACUGACACUGACAUACGGGUCAGACUCCUACGGGAGGCAGCAGUCGGGAAUUUUGGGC
rnacentral:rRNA from 1 species